UGCAGUCGAACGAGAGGAUGAGGAAGCUUGCUUCUUCAGAAUCGAGUGGCAAACGGGUGAGUAACGCGUAAACAACCUGCCCCCGGGAUGGGGACAACAGCUGGAAACGGCUGCUAAUACCGAAUACGAUCAUACUGCCGCAUGGCAGCAUGAUGAAAGGAUGGCCUCUUAAAAAAGCUAUCGCACGGGGAGGGGUUUGCGUCUGAUUAGCUGGUUGGAGGGGUAACGGCCCACCAAGGCGAUGAUCAGUAGCCGGUCUGAGAGGACGAACGGCCACAUUGGAACUGAGACACGGUCCAGACUCCUACGGGAGGCAGCAGUGGGGAAUCUUCCGCAAUGGGCGAAAGCCUGACGGAGCAACGCCGCGUGAGUGAAGACGGCCUUCGGGUUGUAAAGCUCUGUUAUAUGGGACGAACGGCUGUGGGGCCAAUACCCCCGCAGCGUGACGGUACUGUAAGAGAAAGCCACGGCUAACUACGUGCCAGCAGCCGCGGUAAUACGUAGGUGGCAAGCGUUGUCCGGAAUUAUUGGGCGUAAAGGGCGUGCAGGCGGCUGAUCAAGUCUGUCUUAAAAGUGCGGGGCUUAACCCCGUG
rnacentral:rRNA from 1 species